rnacentral:lncRNA from 1 species
GUGAGGGGCAUCUACUCAAAUGAAGGAAAACAGGAGUGUGGAGUUUCUACAGAGACUCUGUGACUGUCCCAGGCUUCUGUGGAAUAUCAGGAACCCGGAAAGUCUGCAUCAGAAGGAAGCUCCCACAGGCUAACUGACUGUGAUCCUCCCCCCUGGCCAGCCAACUCUCAGGAUGAUGGGAUUCUGAACUGAGCACGAUGACCCAUACCUGUAAUCCCAGCACUCAGGAAGUUGAGGCCAGAGGAUUUUCAUGAGCUGGAGGCCAGCCUGGGAUACAUAUGGAGGCUGCUCUAUGCUACAGAGACCUUGAUACAAUCAAAUAAAGCAAAGCAAAUGAGCCCCACUGAGCUCUUCUUAGGAAGUCCCUGUGAUUUGGACCCCAGUACCACAUGGGUCCCUGUUUUCCCGUCUGCUGUCUGCCCAUCACUCAGUAUUCCCUGAGCACUGUCAUAGCUCAAUGGUCA